rnacentral:rRNA from 1 species
UACGUAGGGCGCAAGCGUUAUCCGGAAUUACUGGGCGUAAAGCGUGCGCAGGCGGUUUUGUAAGACAGAUGUGAAAUGCCCGGGCUUAACCUGGGAACUGCAUUUGUGACUGCAAGGCUAGAGUUUGGCAGAGGGGGGUAGAAUUCCACGUGUAGCAGUGAAAUGCGUAGAUAUGUGGAGGAAUACCGAUGGCGAAGGCAGCCCCCUGGGUCAAGACUGACGCUCAUGCACGAAAGCGUGGGGAGCAAACAGG